UCAAACUUGGUCAUUUAGAGGAAGUAAAAGUCGUAACAAGGUCUCCGUUGGUGAACCAGCGGAGGGAUCAUUAUAGAGUUACCAAAACUCCCAAACCCAUGUGAACAUACCUCGCGUUGCCUCGGCAGGUGCCGUCCUACCCCGUAGGCGGCCCUGCCAGAGGCCCCCGAAACUCUGUUUGUUAUAGCAUUGGACCUCUGAAUAAAGAUAACUAAAUCAGUUAAAACUUUCAACAACGGAUCUCUUGGUUCUGGCAUCGAUGAAGAACGCAGC
rnacentral:misc_RNA from 1 species